rnacentral:rRNA from 1 species
GUGGGGAAUAUUGGACAAUGGGCGCAAGCCUGAUCCAGCCAUACCGCGUGUGUGAAGAAGGUCUUCGGAUUGUAAAGCACUUUAAGUUGGGAGGAAGGGCAGUAAGUUAAUACCUUGCUGUUUUGACGUUACCGACAGAAUAAGCACCGGCUAACUUCGUGCCAGCAGCCGCGGUAAUACGAAGGGUGCAAGCGUUAAUCGGAAUUACUGGGCGUAAAGCGCGCGUAGGUGGUUUUGUAAGUUGGAGGUGAAAUCCCCGGGCUCAACCUGGGAACUGCCUCCAAAACUGCAUGACUAGAGUACGGUAGAGGGUAGUGGAAUUUCCUGUGUAGCGGUGAAAUGCGUAGAUAUAGGAAGGAACACCAGUGGCGAAGGCGACUACCUGGACUGAUACUGACACUGAGGUGCGAAAGCGUGGGGAGCAAACAGGAUUAGAAACCCGUGAGUCC